rnacentral:rRNA from 1 species
CAGUAGCCACGGUAAUACGUAGGGUGCAAGCGUUAAUCGGAAUUACUGGGCGUAAAGCGUGCGCAGGCGGUUAUAUAAGACAGAUGUGAAAUCCCCGGGCUCAACCUGGGAACUGCAUUUGUGACUGUAUAGCUAGAGUACGGCAGAGGGGGAUGGAAUUCCGCGUGUAGCAGUGAAAUGCGUAGAUAUGCGGAGGAACACCGAUGGCGAAGGCAAUCCCCUGGGCCUGUACUGACGCUCAUGCACGAAAGCGUGUGGAGCAAACAGGAUUAGAUACCCGUGUAGUCCCUGUCUCUUAUAC